CUGUCUCUGUUGUGUGCUGUCAAGCAUAAAUUUAUUCAUUUUUUGUUCAUUCUUUCUUUUAGAUUGAUUAUUGAGCUUUAUCUCCUGAGCAAUUCUUAAGCAUUACGAGCACUACUGACUCUCCACUGCACAAUAUCCAUCCAUCUAUUCAGAGCACGACCUGCAUUUUCUCUGCAGCUGAACGCCUGGUUUUGGAUUUUCUCCAAUCAGCAGUUCUUCUGAAUUGUUCUUCCCACCUCUCCCCUCCCCAACCCUCCACCCAUAUACCCCACAUCCCCCACCCACCACCCCAAAAAAAAAAAAAAAAAAAAAAAAAAACACAUUCAUUAUAUUCAAUACUAAGUUGAUCAUUUGUGUUCAAAUACUACUGUUCUUUUAAAAGUUCAGUCCUUUUAAUACUAGGUUAAUAAUUUUGUUUAAUCUGCUAUUGUUUUUUUCUUUGGAAAAAAGUUUGUUCAUAUUAAUAUUAGAUUUAUAAUUUGUUUGAUCUGCUACUGUUCUUUUUAUUGAAAAAAGGUUAUUAGCUGUAUUUGUAAGGCAUUCUUUUUCUUGUCAAUUAACUAACUUGUUUUUUCCUUGAGAAUACUUUGCAGGUUGUACCGCUUCAGCAUUUCGUGAAGAUGCCUCGGAAAGGUAGGAGAUCACGGGCUCAAAAAGUUCGUUGGACAAAGUUAGACCUGACGGGACAGACGAGCGUCAGUAAAGGUGUUGCUCAGGUUUCUGAUGGACAGCAGUACGAAGAUGCCGACAGCACAUCUAGAAUUCUAUCCGUGCAGGCGUCUCAUUGCCAGAGUGAUGCAAGGUAUGAUGUUUUCUCACGAAAUCAUCAGUGCACAUGUGUAGCUCUGACAUUCCUUGCGUACCACAGUGAGGGAACUUUGUUCAAACAGCCUGAC